UACGUAGGCAGCAAGCGUUGUUCGGAGUUACUGGGCGUAAAGGGUGUGUAGGCGGUUCUCUAAGUUUGGUGUGAAAUCUCCCGGCUCAACUGGGAGGGUGCGCCGAAAACUGGGGGGGCUAGAGUACUGGAUGGGAGAGUGGAAUUCCUGGUGUAGCGGUGAAAUGCGUAGAUAUCUGGAGGAACACCGGUGGCGAAGGCGGCAUCCUGGACCGGUAUUGACGCUGAGGCGCGAAAGCCAGGGGAGCAAACGGG
rnacentral:rRNA from 1 species